AUUACUAAGCGGAGGAAAAGAAACUAACUAGGAUUCCCUCAGUAGCUGCGAGCGAACAGGGAAGAGCCCAGCACCGAAUCCCGCGGCCGAUACCGGGCGCCGGGAAAUGUGGUGUUAGGGAGGAUCCGUUUAUCCCGAGGUCGUGCGGUGCGUCCAAGUCCUUCUUGAACGGGGCCACAGCCCAUAGAGGGUGCCAGGCCCGUAGCGACCGCUGCCGAUCGCGGGAGGAUCUCUCCUCAGAGUCGGGUUGCUUGAGAGUGCAGCCCUAAGUGGGUGGUAAACUCCAUCUAAGGCUAAAUAUGACCACGAGACCGAUAGCGAACAAGUACCGUGAGGGAAAGUUGAAAAGCACUUUGAAGAGAGAGUUCAAGAGUACGUGAAACCGUUCAGGGGUAAACCUGAGAAACCCGAAAGGUCGAAAGGGGAAAUUCAUUCGCGUCUCGACCGUCGGAGCGGAGCGUUCGUGCGACGGACGGCGUACGCGUCGUCCGCGCCUUUCGUUCCGCGAUCCGGCGUCGAACGCGUGCACUUUUCCCCUAGUAGGACGUCGCGAUCCGUUGGGUGUCGGUCUAAGGCUCGCGGUGGAGCCCGAGCGUGCGUCUUCGGACGUUCGCGCUCGGACCCGCGGUGUCCCGGCCGACCCGCUCGACGGUAUACAGAUGGCGCGGGGCCGCAAAUUCAAUUUGCGUUCGGCCCGCGGCAAGCGCGUACGGUGUUGACGGCGAUCGGACCCGGUGCCGAUCCCGUCCCCGGACGACUGUUGGCCGCGGUGCUCUCGAACAGACCUCGUUCUCGAAACGCCGAUCUGCGACGCUAUAGCUUUGGGUACUUUCAGGACCCGU
rnacentral:rRNA from 1 species